AAGCAGUUAAUAUCUAACCGCGAAAUGAAUCAUUGCGCAUCACGAUGCGCAUGGCGUUAGUCUACAGUCGAAAAUCAUAGUGACAGGUUGCGUUUUACCGGUUAAAGUGUAUAAUUACGUAAAAUUUUCAUUAAUAAACUAUCGUUUUAAGUUUAAUUGUAGAUUAUUAAGUUUUAUUUAAUUAUUACGUGUUUGUUUAAUCAUUAUUGUAUCAAAAUUGAAUGGUAUUUAGACUUUUAUCGUCUUUCUAAACUUUAUUCGUUCGAUUAGAAUUUCGAUGACUUCGAAAGCAUAUUAGUUUUCACACAUGCCAUGAUAAUUAAGAGAUAAUCCGAAGAAUUCAUCGAAUAAGAUUCUCUUAUCGGAUGAUACAAUAUUCUUCUGAACUUCGGUAGCAGUUCUUCGCAUCGAAUGGAAUCACGCGGGAUAGUUUAAAAAAGUUGGAUUAUAGCAUGCUAGAUGGCGUAAGGAACACAAUCGAGGUCGGUAUGUUAAAAUAUACGAUGGAAAGUUCCGUAAGAUGUCACCACUCGCCUGUUCUUGGUCGGUGUAACAGGUUAUGUAUUUAUAUAUUACAAACAUUUCAACAAUUUCAUCAACAAUUUAUUCCACGUUUUAUCAACUUGUAAUUAUUACCAUUAAUUUGUAGUUCGAUACAUCCAAUCCCUGUAUUACAUAUUGUUGGUAAAGUAAUCUUUUUACAAUUGACAGUAUAAUCGCAAUAGUUAAAAUAUUUUUAUUCUUGUUAA